rnacentral:misc_RNA from 1 species
GAAAUGCGAUAAGUAAUGUGAAUUGCAGAAUUCAGUGAAUCAUCGAAUCUUUGAACGCACAUUGCGCCCGCCAGUAUUCUGGCGGGCAUGCCUGUUCGAGCGUCAUUACAACCCUCAGGCCUCCGGGCCUGGCGUUGGGGAUCGGCGGAGCCCCCCCCCGUGGGCACACGCCGUCCCCCAAAUACAGUGGCGGUCCUGCCGCAGCUUCCAUUGCGUAGUAGCUAACACCUCGCAACUGGAGAGCGGCGCGGCCACGCCGUAAAACACCCAACUUCUGAAUGUUGACCUCGAAUCAGGUAGGAAUACCCGCUGAACUUAAGC